UACAGAGGCCUCGAGCGUUAGGCGGAAUCACUGGGCUUAAAGCGUGUGUAGGCGGAUGCCUAAGUGCUUUGUGAAAUCCCACGGCUCAACCGUGGAAUUGCUUGGCAUACUGGGUGUCUUGAGCCAUCUAGGGGCGAGCGGAACAAGUGGUGGAGCGGUGAAAUGCGUAGAUAUCACUUGGAACGCCAACGGUGAAAACAGCUCGCUGGGGAUGUGCUGACGCUGGAGACACGAAAGCCAGGGGAGCGAACGGG
rnacentral:rRNA from 1 species